UUUAAAUAAAUAACGACUUAAAUUUCCGUCUUUUUUCCACCCAAAGCAAUCGAAUGACUACAGGAGACUUUAUAAUAUAGAUUACUUUUAAGAUAUUGACAGUUACUUCUCAGAUGAAAGCCCACACAUACAAAAGCGAAAUGAGUCCCUCGUCAGUUGAACAAGUGUCACUGAGGUGAAUUUGGACCCUCUUCAGGUAUCGUAGACCUCCUUGGGAACACCUCUGAAGGUAAGUAUUCAAAAUCAAACAACAGACUGUGUAAUUUCUGAGCUGCUGCUGUGUGGUUUACACAAAUGAGGUGUUGUAUAUUCCAUUGUUUGAGGCUAGGUGUUAAGAGCUUUUCCUGUGCUCCUUAACUUGAGAGCCACAUACUUCACAUGUCAGACAGAGCCAGGAAUGAGCACAUGGUGGCAUUACUUUAUCUAAGAAGCUUUUGCUGAUGAAUGAGAAUGAUAGUUAUUUGCUUUCAGGUUCCAGCAGAAAUGCAAAAAAGGUGGAUCAUGGGAGCUAGAAGGGAAUCAUCCUUGUCUGACUUCAAAGCAAGAUCUUCUGUUAAAAAAAAAAAAAAGUAAGCUGUGCCUUACACCCUACAGGCAGAACAAAGAGGCUUCAAGAAAGACUACAUGGACCACAUAUUCAUCCCUGUGAAAUGGAGCUGAUACUUCAUCCAGGCAACUGCCAUUGAAAGGAAAGGGAAUGUUCAAUUCGGAUGG